AUUUAUUGAUUUGGCAGAUUAGUGCAUUAAAUUUAGAAUUUAAAUAAGUAAAUUUUACAUUCAAUA
rnacentral:tRNA from 1 species